rnacentral:misc_RNA from 1 species
AAAAAUGUACAUUUUUAUCAAGCUAAUUUAUUAAUGGAAUCAACGGGUAGUAGCUUUAGUGAUUCCAUUUUAAAAUAAUGGGAUUUACUAGUUAAUGUUAAUAUUAAUAGCGAUUUAGCCGAAUAAUUACAUUUAAGGUUUGGUCCUCCAGCAUAGAUCGGAAGAGAGGAUUCGGCUUUCUAAAAGCUUUCACCAAUCGAGACUCGAUGGUGGAGAGAUGGAAACGGGAAAGGUAACAGUGGAGAAAGUAGAUGGAAAAUCAACAGUGACAAGAUGCUUCUCUAAGUAUCCUCUCAAAUUCAUCAUUCCCACAAAGGUGGGUCCUUCCAAAAGUGAUGCUGUUUGGAUUUACACCCUCACCUAUGGUGGUGGCAUUGUCUCUGGAGAUUCUAUAUCAAGUGAAUUUAACAUUGGAGAUGGAUGCACCACUGUCCUCACAACCCAAGCUUCUACCAAGGUGUACAAGUCUUUGGGUUCUAAAUGUUCUGAACAAUUUCUUGAGUAGGCAAGAAUUGGCAGGGACUCCCUUUUGGCUGUCAUUCCAGAUCCAGUGACAUGUUUUUCAACUGCAAGAUACUCUCAAAAGCAAGUCUUUAGAGUGCUUUCAGACUCAAAUUUAGUAAUUGUUGAUUGGAUUACCAGUGGACGUCAUGAAAGUGGAGAAAAAUGGGAUUUUGAUCUUUAUAAGAGCACCAACAACAUUUUCUUGGAUCAUGAUCAGCCUUUGUUCCUUGAUACCGUAUUACUUUCUAUCAUAUUUAGAAUUUUAACUGAUUUUUUUUCUGUAUCUAUUAUUUUUCUUGACCAGAAUGCUAUUUUAGAAGCUUACACAAGAAAAUUAUGGACUCUUUCCCCUUUACUCAUAUGUUUCAUCAACAGCUCAUCUAUUGUGAUAAUGUAUUGCCAUUUUUCUUCUUUGUCCAUUGAGGAACUGAUUAGGCCUUGCGCUGCACAAUAGAGGUAGAUUGUCCAUCUAAUAAAACUAAAGCCCUAUCUUGGUAGCCACUUCCAUCUUUGAUGAGAUUUUGAUGUUCUAACCACUGGGCUGUUCUCUUCUGAUGAUGUAUCAGAACAUAUUGCAACAUGAAUCAACUGUUCACAUAUUGGGUUGACACAUUGGACCCUCAUUGGUUACUCAGGCAGCCAUGCUAGGUUUUUAUGUCAUUAGUUAGGUAGAUUAAAUUUCUGUUUUCCAAAUAACAAUCAGACAGAUUAGAUCUCUCUCCUCUUUUGUAGUCACAAUCUUGCUUGCAUUUAUGGUAUUGGUGCCUUUUUGGUCUUUGUUUCUCAUGAUCAACUUUAUUUCUGUGAAGCCCUUUGAAUUUCUGCAUAUCAGUUGUCCCCUUGAAAUCUCAUAAGUUUUUUGAAUUUUAAUUAAUGUGUUGGUUUCAACUUUUCAGUUUCUUCCUUACCAAAACCUUUUUAAAGGAUGAUCUUCUGAUGUUCAGCUAAUUGUGCGCCUAUUUUGAAUCUUAUAAUUCAACUCUUUCUGCUGACCCAUUAAUAAGUUAGUUUCAACUCUUUCUAUUUUGCAUUCCUUUAGGCAGAACCUAUCUUUUGAAAUUAUGAUUUUAAGUCUCUCUCUUAUUGAAUACAUAGAUAUACUCAAUUUUGUCUCACAGUUUUCCUAGGUCUUAUAGUACUCUAAAUCUCUUAGAUAUUGCUGUUUUCUUAUUGUAAUAUUGUAGGUAUGCAUCAAAUCAAUGAUUCAUUAUUUUGGUUUUUUUUUAUCAUCCAUUAGUCAUUUUCAAACUCAAUAAUGUGAGUCUUGUCUUGGUUUCUUGUUUCAAUUGGUUUAAUGUCCUAUUACAGGUAUUGCUAGAGCAAGGAAACAUUGCUGCUAUCACAGAACGCAUGCGUGACUACCAAGUUAUUGCAAUGGUUAUAAUCUUGGGGUAGACACUUUCAUAUGUAGUAUAACUUGUUUGCAACUUUGUGAUUCUAUAUGUUCGAUGCAGUUUUCAUUGCUCUAGUCAAAUUGCUUGAAGAUUUAGUGAUUUUUUUCCAAUAGGCCAAAGCUGAAGCACAUUCAAACUCAAGUUCAAGAACAUGUGAAAAUGAUAAUGUCUGAGCAAUUGCACGUGCCUUUUGUUGGCUUACGUGGCCAUAUAAAAUCAAAUUCUAGUAUUUGCUUCACCAAACCACCAUUUAUUGCAUCUUGCAGCUUAUUUGGUCCUAAGGUAUGUAUUUAAUCUCAAUGCCAUAGAAAUAUCACCAAGUGUUUUCAAUUGUUACUUUUAUUUUCACUUACAUUAAAUGAGCACUGCAAAUUGAUAUUUUGAACUAGCAUGUGUCUUGACCAUCAUUUAUUUUUCUUAAUCUGGCAAUAUGAAUAGCAAUAGUUUUCUAAUUUGGGCAUGCUCACGCCAUUAGGUCCAAUUUUAAUGCUAAGGAUAGCUACAUGUAGUUUUCCUUUAAAGAUACUUCCUAAUCUAUUAAAACAUGAUCAUUCAGCAAUAAGAGAAAUGGCUUUGUUCUAUUUUGUUAAUUUGGUUUCAAAGUUAACUUAGCCCAUUAAAGCCCUGAUCUUGUGUCUCUCUGUUUGCAGUAUACAUUCACACUUACAAUUUUUACUUUAUUUAUAGUAGUCUAGUUUGUUUUUGUGAUAAGAAAAGCUAAAGUACUUGUAGAUUCAUUUUCUUUCAAUUGUAUGUGAUAUUCUACCACCAUUCUUCUUGAAUUAGGAUCUGCUCUGAAGUCUAAUAAUUUAUUUCUAUACUAUGUGUUAGUGCCAUAUUUUAAUUUUACUUAGUUUUGGGUUAAUGUUAAUUUAAUUUUUUUAGUUAAUUAUAUUUUACCAAUUAAAUUAUAUAGCCUAAAUUAAUUAAAAAUAAGUGGUACUGGUAAUUGUGUGUUAGUUAUUUGAGAGUGGGAAGUUAAAAG